UUGAAAGGGAAACGAUUGAAGCCAGUCGUACCGGCGGAUAAUCAGCCUUUCGAGUGCGAUUCUGUGGAGCGUGAGGAGCUUAAUCGCCUUCACGUCUUGCAUAUUCGUGCACUUUUUGGUGUACUUGUCCGUGUGGUGAGUUAACAUCAAUUCUGGUCGUCAUAAAAUGAUUGGAGGAAUGUAGCUUCAAUCUCGUAUCGAAGUGUUAUAGACUCUGGUAGAUGUGACGAUUGGGAUUGAGGAUUGCAACGGAUACCCUUCGGGGCUACCCGUCUGAUCUCUGAAGGUUGCUCCGGUGCCGAAAGCGUGCUUAUGGUCAUCGAAAGUGAUCGUCAAAAGGUUAGAACGGGUUAAAUUCGUUAAGGAUGUUGACGUA
rnacentral:rRNA from 1 species